CCCUUAACUAUUAAAAGUUUCUUUUUGGUCCUUUAACUUACUUUUUGGUUUCAUUUUGGUCCCUUAACUCUUCCUUCGUCAGCCUCUUUGGUCCUUUAUGUUAGGAUGAAUGUAUUAGAGUUAAGGGACCAAAAUGAAACAAAAAAAAUAAGUUAAGGGACCAAAACGAAACCAAAAAAUAAGUUAAGGGACCAAAACGAAACUUUUAAUAGUUAAGGGACCAAAAGAAAACCCAAAAAUAAGUUAUGGGACCGAAACGAAACUUUUAAUAGUUAAGGAA
rnacentral:pre_miRNA from 1 species